rnacentral:rRNA from 1 species
GAUGAACGCUAGCUACAGGCUUAACACAUGCAAGUCGAGGGGAAACGACAUCGAAAGCUUGCUUUUGAUGGGCGUCGACCGGCGCGCGGGUGAGUAACGCGUAUCCAACCUGCCCACCACUUGGGGAUAACCUUGCGAAAGUAAGACUAAUACCCAAUGAUAUCUCUAGAAGACAUCUGAAAGAGAUUAAAGAUUUAUCGGUGAUGGAUGGGGAUGCGUCUGAUUAGCUUGUUGGCGGGGGAACGGCCCAACAAGGCUUCGAUCAGUAGGGGUUCUGAGAGGAAGGUCCCCAACAUUGGAACCGAGAAAAGGUCCAAACUCCUACGGGAGGCAGCAGUGAGGAAUAUUGGUCAAUGGACGGGAGUCUGAACCAGCCAAGUAGCGUGCAGGAUGACGGCCCUAUGGGUUGUAAACUGCUUUUAUAAGGGAAUAAAGUGAGUCUCGUGAGACUUUUUGCAUGUACCUUAUGAAUAAGGACCGGCUAAUUCCGUGCCAGCCGCCGCGGUAA